UACGUAGGUGGCAAGCGUUGUCCGGAUUUAUUGGGUUUAAAGGGUGCGUAGGCGGCUUUGUAAGUCAGUGGUGAAAUAUGGCAGCUCAACUGUCAGGGUGCCAUUGAUACUGCGGAGCUUGAGUACAGAUGAGGUAGGCGGAAUUGACGGUGUAGCGGUGAAAUGCUUAGAUAUCGUCAAGAACACCGAUAGCGAAGGCAGCCUCCUGGGCCAAUACUGACGCUCAUGCACGAAAGCGUGGGGAGCAAACAGG
rnacentral:rRNA from 1 species